rnacentral:rRNA from 1 species
CCUACGGGGGGCAGCAGUAGGGAAUAUUGCUCAAUGGGGGAAACCCUGAAGCAGCAACACCGCGUGCAGGAUGAAGGUUUUCGGAUUGUAAACUCCUGUUGUUAGAGAAGAUAAUGACGGUAUCUAACGGAUAAGCACCGGCUGACUCCGUGCCAGCAGCCGCGGUAAUACUGAGGGUGCAAGCGUUACUCGGAAUCACUGGGCGGAAAGAGCGCGUAGGCGGAUUGGAAAGUCAGCGGUAAAAUCGCGAGGCUCAACCUCUUUUCGCCGUUGAAACUGUCGGUCUUGAGUGGGCGAGAAGUAUGCGGAAGGCGAUGUGUAGCGGUGAAAUGCAUAGAUAUAACGCAGAACUCCGAUGGCGAAGGCAGCAUACCGGCGCCCGACUGACGCUGAGGCACGAAAGCGUGGGUAGCGAACAGGAUUAGAUACCCUGGUAGUC